rnacentral:sRNA from 1 species
UGCUGUCUGUACGUCAGAAAGAUUCGAACCUGCGCAGGUUCGGGUCGAACGAAGUGAGACAACGACGCCGCUUGCGGCGACGGCCCGAAGGGCGAGCGAGGCGAGUUAUCCUGCACGACCCACCA